rnacentral:rRNA from 1 species
ACGGGUGAGGAACGCGUGAGAAUCUGCCUUUAGGUCGGGGACAACAUUUGGAAACGAAUGCUAAUACCGGAUGAGCUGAGAAGUAAAAGAUUUAUCGCCUAAAGAGGAGCUCGCGUCUGAUUAGCUAGAUGGUGGGGUAAAGGCUUACCAUGGCGACGAUCAGUAGCUGGUCUGAGAGGAUGAGCAGCCACACUGGGACUGAGACACGGCCCAGACUCCUACGGGAGGCAGCAGUGGGGAAUUUUCCGCAAUGGGCGAAAGCCUGACGGAGCAAUACCGCGUGAGGGAGGAAGGCUUUUGGGUUGUAAACCUCAAAACUUAGGGAAGAAGAAAGUGACGGUACCUAAUAUAAGCAUCGGCUAACUCCGCGCCAGCAGCCGCGGUAAUACGGAGGAUGCAAGCGUUAUCCGGAAUCAUUGGGCGUAAAGAGUCCGUAGGUGGCGAAUCAAGUCUGCUGUCAAAGACCGAAGCUCAACUUCGGGUAGGCGGUGGAAACUGAGAAGCUAGAGUAUAGUAGGGGUAGAGGGAAUUCCUAGUGUAGCGGUGAAAUGCGUAGA